CCUACGGGAGGCAGCAGUGGGGAAUAUUGCACAAUGGGCGCAAGCCUGAUGCAGCAACGCCGCGUGAGGGACGACGGCCUUCGGGUUGAAACCUCUUUUAGCAGGGAAGCGGUACCUGCAGAAAAAGCGCCGGCUAACUACGUGCCAGCAGCCGCGGUAAUACGUAGGGCGCAAGCGUUAUCCGGAAUUAUUGGGCGUAAAGAGCUCGUAGGCGGUUUGUCGCGUCUGCUGUGAAAUCCGGAGGCUCAACCUCCGGCCUGCAGUGGGUACGGGCAGACUAGAGUGCGGUAGGGGAGAUUGGAAUUCCUGGUGUAGCGGUGGAAUGCGCAGAUAUCAGGAGGAACACCGAUGGCGAAGGCAGAUCUCUGGGCCGUACUGACGCUGAGGAGCGAAAGGGUGGGGAGCAAACAGGCUUAGAUACCCUUGUAGUC
rnacentral:rRNA from 1 species